rnacentral:rRNA from 1 species
AGAGUUUGAUUCUGGCUCAGAACGAACGCUGGCAGCGUGGAUUAGGCAUGCAAGUCGAACGUGAAGCCGAUGAUCAAUCAGUCGGGAAAGUGAUUCGGUGGAAAGUGGCGAAAGGGUGAGUAACGCGUGGGUGAGCUAUCUCAAAGUUGGGGACAACCAGAUGAAAAUCUGGCUAAUACCGAAUGUGGUCUUCUGACGCAUGUCAGGAUGACUAAAGGCGGGGAUUCUUCGGAACCUGCCGCUUUGAGAGGUGCCCGCGUGCCAUCAGCUUGUUGGUAGGGUAAUGGCCUACCAAGGCUUACGGCUAGCCGGCCUGAGAGGGUGAUCGGCCACACUGGGACUGAGACACUGCCCAGACUCCUACGGGAGGCUGCAGUCGAGGAUCAUUCGCAAUGCGCGAAAGCGUGACGAUGCGACGCUGCGAGGGGGAUGAAGGCCUUCGGGUCGUAAACUCCUGUCAUGAGGGAAAAGUAUCCCUGCAAUUAAUAGUUGCGGGGCUCGAUGGUACCUCAAGAGGAAGCCACGGCUAACUCUGUGCCAGCAGCCGCGGUAAUACAGAGGUGGCGAGCGUUGUUCGGAUUUACUGGGCGUAAAGGGUGCGUAGGUGGUUUUGUGUGUCGGAUGUGAAAUCCCAUGGCUCAACUGUGGAAUUGCAUUCGAAACUGCGGAACUAGAGUGCAGGAUGGAGAGCGGAAUUCUUGGUGUAGCGGUGAAAUGCGUUGAUAUCAAGAAGAACACCGGCGGCGAAGGCGGCUCUCUGGAAUGCUACUGACACUGAGGCACGAAAGCUGGGGGAGCGAACAGGAUUAGAUACCCUGGUAGUCCCAGCCGUAAACGGUGCACACUUGGUGUGGGGAGAUUUAACCCUCUCCGUGCCGGAGUUAACGCGUUAAGUGUGCCGCCUGGGGAGUACGGCCGCAAGGCUAAAACUCAAAGAAAUUGACGGGGGCCCGCACAAGCGGAGGAGCAUGUGGCUUAAUUCGAUUCAACGCGAAGAACCUUACCAGGGCUUGACAUAUACCUGCACGCCCCGUGAAAGCGGGGAAGCUUUCGAAGGUGGUAUACAGGUGCUGCAUGGCUGUCGUCAGUUCGUGCCGUGAGGUGUUGGGUUAAGUCCCGUAACGAACGCAACCCUUGUGGCUAGUUGCCACCGGCGGUGAUGAGCCGCCGAGCGCUCUAGCCAGACUGCCCGUACAAGCGGGAGGAAGGUGGGGAUGACGUCAAGUCAGUAUGGCCCUUACGCCCUGGGCUGCACACGUGCUACAAUGGUCGGUACAAUGGGAUGCAAUACCGCGAGGUGGAGCCAAUCCCCAAAGCCGCCCUCAGUUCGGAUUGAAGUCUGCAACUCGACUUCAUGAAGUUGGAUUCGCUAGUAACGGCGCAUCAGCUACGGCGCCGUGAAUACGUUCCCGGGCCUUGUACACACCGCCCGUCACAUCAUGAAAGCCGUCUGCACCCGAAGUCGCUGAGCCAACCAAUUUAUUGGAGGCAGGUGCCGAAGGUGUGGGUGGUGAUUGGGAUGAA